ACGCGGUAUCGAAACAUAUUCAAAUACAGUGACAACGAAAUGUUUUUGAAAACCGGCGAUGACAGAAAGGCGAAAAUCCACGGGAGAAGUGAACACAUUAUUUUUCCCCUCUGCAGACCCAUAUACGGUGUACAUAGUAUACGCACGGGAUGGUUUUGCAUAACAAAUCGCGGGUCGUUUUUCAUUAGGUUCCGACGUGAGUUCGCGGAACGACCGAAUGGAGGUGACCGAAAACCGCAGACGAAACGAUAUUGGAACGUUUGAAGUUAUGUUCUAUGGUUCGUUUUACAUAAUUGUUAUUAUUUUUUUUUUUUUUUAUAUUUUAAACGGGAGAACGAAUCAUCCAUAUUUCCCUAUUCUAUACAAUUUAUCG